rnacentral:rRNA from 1 species
GAGUUUGAUCUUGGCUCAGAACGAACGCUGGCGGCAUGCCUAACACAUGCAAGUCGAACGAUGCCUUCGGGCAUAGUGGUGCACGGGUGCGUAACGCGUGGGAAUCUGCCCUCUGGUACGGAAUAACUCAGGGAAACUUGAGCUAAUACCGUAUAAUGACUCCGGUCCAAAGAUUUAUCGCCUGAGGAUGAGCCCGCGUCGGAUUAGCUAGUUGGUGAGGUAAAAGCUCACCAAGGCGACGAUCCGUAGCUGGUCUGAGAGGAUGAUCAGCCACACUGGGACUGAGACACGGCCCAGACUCCUACGGGAGGCAGCAGUGAGGGAUAUUGCACAAUGGGGGAAACCCUGAUGCAGCGACGCCGCGUGGGUGACGAAGGUCUUCGGGUUGUAAAACUCUUUCGUCAGGGACGAUAAUGACGGUACCUGAAGAAGAAG